UACCAGCACCCCGAGUGGUCGGGACGAUUAUUGGGCCUAAAGCAUCCGUAGCCGGUCCUGCAAGUCUUCCGUUAAAUCCAACUGCUCAACAGGUGGGCUGCGGAGGAUACUACAGAGCUAGGAGGCAGGAGAGGCAAGCGGUACUCAGUGGGUAGGGGUAAAAUCCGUUGAUCCAUUGAAGACCACCAGUGGCGAAGGCGGCUCACUGGUCCAUUACUGACGCUGAGGUGACGAAAGCGUGGGGGAGCAAACAGG
rnacentral:rRNA from 1 species